rnacentral:rRNA from 1 species
GACGAACGCUGGCGGCGUGCUUAACACAUGCAAGUCGAACGAGUGGCGAACGGGUGAGUAGUACGGGGGUAACCUGCCCUCUUUUUGGGAUCAGCCUUGGAAACGGGGUCUAAUACCGAAUAAUGGGGGAUGGGCUCGGGGCCUAUCAGCUUUUUGGUGGGGUGAUGGCCUAUCAAGGUGGUGACGGGUAGCCGGCCUGAGAGGGUGACGGGCCACAGUGGGAGUGAGAGACGGCCCAGACGCCUACGGGAGGAAGCAGUGGGGGAGAUUGCCAAAUGGGCGAAAGGCUCAUGCAGCGACGCCGCGUGGGGGAUGAAGGCUUUGGGGUUGUAAACCUCUUUCGCCAUCGAAUGGGUAGGUGGCGAAGAAGCGCCGGCUAACUACGUGCCAGCAGCCGCGGUAAUAC